GCUGCGCACUUCGGUCUUUUACGUCGGCCUUCGCGAGCGUCUGGGCGGGUGGUAGGUGAGUGGGUAUUGCGGGCUAGUAUCCGAGCAAAAGAUGGUGGCGCAGGCCGAGUUAAGAGCUUUAAUCCUGUGAAGACAUCUUAGUGAAGAGUUUAGAGUGCUGAGAGUUGAAAGCUUGCACGUGGGAAACGUGCGGCCGGACUGCCACAUGUACUGAGGUUGAGUCGUGACGGCCACAGGCUCCGAGUUUUGGCGUGAGGAACCGCUGAUCGGCCACGGGCGCCGAACUUGCUGGCCUCCGGCAUGUGCCUGAGCGGCGGCGGAAAAACCACCUUAAUUGGGGCGGAGGGUUAGUUUUAACAGCAAAGGGCCUUUACUAAAAUGGCGAAGGCCUUCCGUCGGCGUUGUUUUAAAAUGGGAAGCCUCGACCCUGUAUUGAAACUGAGCUGUUCGAAGGCGGCGUUGUGUGCAAUUCGGAUUAAUGAAGGGGAAGGGUUUUGUGUGGAAAAACGCCUUGGAGUGUGACAUUUCUGCGAGAAUGCUUAAAUACCGAUUUCCCGCAGGAACAAUGGCGCUGUCUUCAGUGGCACAGUGGAGCAGCUCUGAAGAUGCAAAGAUACACGAAAAAACUUCCAGAACAUCUGGGAGAAUAUUUAAUGGAAAAUCGCUUGGUUAAAACCUGACACUUUUAACAGUGAACAGCGUUCUGAGUGUGGACGAGUAGCCAGUGAAGAUAAUGAAUGUCGAAUGUGACUGACUAGCAGCUUCAUUUUGAAUGAGGGUCGCUGUCUGCCCAUUGAUAGAGGCCAGAUUGUCUUGGAAGUUCCAAAGUUGCAACGAUUUCUUUAGUUGAAUCCAUGGACAUGAAACCCACAGAUAUAGAGGGUUGGCCCGGUGCAGUGGCUCACGCCUGUAAUCCCAGCACUUUGGGAGGCCAAGGCGGGUGGAUCACCUGAGGUCAGAAGCUUGAGACCAGCCUGGCCAACAUGGUAAAACCCCAUCUCUACUAAUAAUACAAAACAAUUUGCUGGGCAUGGUGGUGCACGCUUGUAAUCCAAGCUACUCCAGAGGCUGAGGCAGAAGAAUCGCUUGAAUCCGAGAGGCAAAGGUUGCAGUGAGCCCAGAUCACACCACUGCUCUCCAACCUGGGCAACAAGAGCAAAACUCCGUCAAAAAAAAAAGAUACAGGGUCAACUGUACACAUUAAACACUUCUAUCAACUAGUGAUGUCAGUCUUGUCCAUUGUAUUAUUGCCUAUCUUACUAAACAGUCAUAUUUCAGGAAGUACAAUAUACUCAAAAACUAAGUUAAUGUUCUUUGUAGAUUUAUGGUUAAUGGAUGAUUCAUAUAAUAGAAACUUAAAUUUAUUUGACCAUUCUAUUUAAUAUAGAAUAAAUACAACUAGCCAGGCAUGGUGGCUCAUGUCUAUAAUGCCAGCACUUGGGGAGGCCAAGGUGGGAGGCUCACUUGAGCAUAGGAAUUCAAGGCCAGCCUGGGCAACACAAUGUGAGACCCGUCUCUAUGAAAAUUUUAAAAAUUAGCCAAGCAUGGUAACACAAGUCUGUGGUCCCAGCUACUUGGGAGGCUGAGGCGCGAGAAGUCCAGGAGGUCAACGCUGCAGUGAGCUGUGUGUGUGCCACUGCAUCCUAGCCUGGGCAACAGAGCAAGACCCUGUCUCAAAAAUAAAGAAUAAAUACAACCUAUUAAGCUUGAGAGAUCCAGUGAAAUCCAAAUAAGAGAAACUGUGUCCUACACAGUUUUCUGUUAACCAUUUUCUUGGUAUUUAAAUUAUUUAUCAAAUUUUAACUUCAAUAAAAAAUUAUUCUGGAGAACACAUACCUCUAGAGUAAGUAAAGUAUACACUUUCAAUUUUUAGACAUGAGGUUUUGAGGUGUUUGACUGUAUCUAAUUUCCUAAAGGCUCUAUUUUUUAACCUACAAAAAUUAUAAAAAGAUAUAUAAAAGAUAUGAAAUGUAAAAAUAAGGAAGAUAUGAAGAUUAAAAUAACCUAUAAUCCCACCACUCAGAGGUAACUGUUAUACAAUUUUUGAUGUAU
ensembl:lncRNA SNHG5 small nucleolar RNA host gene 5